rnacentral:rRNA from 1 species
GACGAACGCUGGCGGCGUGCUUAACACAUGCAAGUCGAACGGAAAGGCCCUGCUUGCAGGGUACUCGAGUGGCGAACGGGUGAGUAACACGUGGGUGAUCUGCCCUGCACUUCGGGAUAAGCCUGGGAAACUGGGUCUAAUACCGGAUAGGAGCCAUUUUUAGUGUGAUGGUUGGAAAGUUUUUUUCGGUGUAGGAUGAGCUCGCGGCCUAUCAGCUUGUUGGUGGGGUAAUGGCCUACCAAGGCGGCGACGGGUAGCCGGCCUGAGAGGGUGGACGGCCACAUUGGGACUGAGAGACGGCCCAGACUCCGACGGGAGGCAGCAGUGGGGAAUAUUGCACAAUGGGCGCAAGCCUGAUGCAGCGACGCCGCGUGGGGGAUGACGGCCUUCGGGUUGUAAACUCCUUUCGCUAGGGACGAAGCUUUUUGUGACGGUACCUAGAUAAGAAGCACCGGCUAACUACGUG